rnacentral:rRNA from 1 species
UACGAAGGGGGCGAGCGUUGUUCGGAUUUACUGGGCGUAAAGGGCGCGCAGGCGGCUUAUUUUGUCAGGCGUGAAAGCCCCGGGCUUAACCUGGGAACUGCGUUUGAUACGGAUGGGCUAGAGUUCGGGAGAGGAGCGUGGAAUUCCCAGUGUAGAGGUGAAAUUCGUAGAUAUUGGGAAGAACACCGGUGGCGAAGGCGGCGAAUCUGGGUCGAGUACUGACGCUGAGGUGCGAAAGCGUGGGGAGCAAACAGG